UUAAAUAAAAAAAGUUACAAAAAAGGAACUUUUUUUCAUGAUAUUCACAUUUCUUCAAGAUGCACCUUAUACACACACAUACACACAUACAUACAUAUAUGAGUUUUCGUAAAAGCAACAAUACAAAAUCUUAAACUAUAAAAGUGCCACUUUGUCCCACUAUUAUGCGCAGGCCUGGCAUUUUGCACUGGGCUAUAGAACUACAAAAUUAAUUUUAAAUUACCAAUAUCAUGAUUGAAUGACAUUUUGAAUUAUGUAGUGAUCUAAUUCUAUCCACCAAGCAAUGUAUGUGAAUGUGUGAGACUUAUGGUCAUGGUUAUAGGGAAAUAACAAGAAGAACAAAGUGCAGUAAACGGUAAAACUGUUUGCACUACAAACCAGUACGUUCAUAAUUAAGACAAUACAUUAAAAAUAACAUGGUGAGAUACAGCAGUUUGCAACAGUAAACAGCAAAACAAGCUGUUUGUACAGCUAAUAUAGCUGGAAUGACACCGAAAGCCAGACACAUUAAAUUUACAAAUGGCCGCGCCCCCUCUUACAGAAAAAAAAUAAGGGGCAUAUGUUUAUUAAUAUGUUUAUUUAUUUAACGUAAGCGUUUGACUUUUAAUUCGUGACGUGCUUUCAUGGGCGUGCGCGCGGACCGGAUGGAGUUGCCAUGGAAACGGAGCGCAACACUGCAAAUGUCACGAGGAAACACCCCGUUUCUCGCUGAUUUCACUGUUUUCAGGUGAGUUAAGUCCAUAAAAUCACACAAAUAUUACUUAUAACUGUUGUUGACACUUCUAUUACUUGUAUUUGACUCGCUUCUGUUGUUUAUUUACUUUAUAGGAAUGGUUUAAUGUCUUCGAAAAAGUCAGUUAGCAUUUCUACCGUUUUCAGACGACGUAUCGUCAGGUAUGAUAACACUAUUGUGCUCUUAUUUAUUAAAGUUUGGGCUUUUAAUCAAAUCUUCAUCUGUAGAUAAUAGCUUUUGACUGUUUUGUUGGGAAUCUUUCAAUGGAUGGUUGGAAAUUGCUUAAUUUAUUUAACCUUAACAUUUACACUUUACUGUUUAUCGAUGACGUCACGUUAUCAAGGAGCACGAAAAUUGGCAGAAAACUAAAGUUGUUUACCAUCUUUUAUGGUAAACAUAAAACUGUUCUGCGAUUUCAAGAGUGACAAAAUAAUCCUUCUACAACAGAAGGGAGUUUUCAAGAUUUCAAUAUUUCUGAAGGGAGCUGCUGACAGAGAUGUAGGAAGCGCUGAAAAGAUUCUCCAGUGCUGAUGGCCUGCUGCAUCCAGCAGAGUCGGAGUGAACCUACUGUAAGACAACAUCUCCAAGAUGCUAUUGACCACAAGACUAGAACAGGUUAUUAGAAACUGCACAGCACAGGACUUGCAGGACUUGUGAGGACUUCAGAUGAUACCAGUACUCAAAAGACCUUAGAUGAUGGCAACUAUAGAUGGACAUACAAACUACCGCCACUGCAAAAAAGAUUCUAAUUUGAAAGAAGUUUAUAAUGCAUGUUCACUACUCCCAAUUCAGAAGACUGAAUCAGCCUGUGUAUCUGAAUGUUUCUCAAACUCACUCCUCUCUGCCGCGUCUGAAUUUGGGAUUUUCCUUAGCUGUCAGUUAUAAACGUCAAAAUUAAAAGAAAUAAACAUUUGAAAUAUAGCAGUCUGUGUGUAAUGAAUAAAUAUAAUAUACAAGUUUCACUUUUUGAAUGGAAUUAGUGAAAUAAAUCAACUUUUUGAUGAUAUUCUAAUUAUAUGACCAGCACCUGUAUAUCAUUGCUCUUUUGUUGAUUUUGAUUGCUUCCAUUGUGCUCAUUUGUAAGUUGCUUUGGAUAAAAGUGUCUGCUAAAUGUAAAUGUAAUGUUAAUGUGUAUUUAACUAUAUUUAUAAAUAUUUAUCUCUAUUUUUUAUUUUGUAAUAAUGUAGAUGUAUUUGUUUUAUAUCUAUGCAUGCAGUUGUAUUCAUGUAUGUAUAUUUAUUUGUCUAAUUUUUAUAUUUUAAUAAAGCAGUUUAGACAACAUGAGUGUUUUCUUUAUUCUGGAUGAAUUACAUAUUCUUUUGUGUCUAGAAAGGGUAAAUAUGGGCCAUAUCUAACCCAGAAGUCAGCCACAACUGGGACGGAUCUGGGCCACAUCUCAGAAAUGGCGUGGUUGACAUCUGGGCCAGGUGUCGCCCAUGCCAUUUGUGAGAUGCGGCAUGGAUCUGGUACAGUUGUGGCCGACUUCUGUCAGACAAAACUGGGCCAGAUCUGGCCCUGAUGUCACCCACACCAUUUCAGAGAUGUGGCCCAGAUCUGAUUCAGUUGUGGCUGACAUAUGUCAGCCAGACUCAGGUUGAGUCAUCGCCGUCAUUCCGCGCGGUAUGUGGGCCAGAAGAAUAUGGGAGAUGUGGGCCAGAACUGGGCCACAUGUCAUUUGCUAUCUGGGUAGU